rnacentral:rRNA from 1 species
AUUGAACGCUGGCGGUAUGCUUAACACAUGCAAGUCGAACGGUAACAGGCCUUCGGGCGCUGACGAGUGGCGGACGGUGAGUAACGCGUAGGAAUCUGCCUCAUAGUGGGGACAACGUGGGGAAACUCACGCUAAUACCGCAUACGCCCUACGGGGAAAGCGGGGAUCUUCGGACCUCGCGCUAUGAGAUGAGCCUGCGUUAGAUUAGCUAGUUGGUAGGGUAAAGGCCUACCAAGGCGACGAUCUAUAGCUGGUCUGAGAGGACGAUCAGCCACACUGGGACUGAGACACGGCCCAGACUCCUACGGGAGGCAGCAGUGGGGAAUAUUGGACAAUGGGCGCAAGCCUGAUCCAGCAAUACCGCGUGUGUGAAGAAGGCCUUAGGGUUGUAAGGCACUUUCAAUUGGGAGGAAAACCUGCCGGUCAAUACCCGGUAGCUUGACAUUACCUUUAGAAGAAGCACCGGCUAACUCCGUGCCAGCAGCCGCGGUAAU